rnacentral:rRNA from 1 species
GACGAACGCUGGCGGCGUGCUUAACACAUGCAAGUCGAGCGGUAAGGCCCUUUUGGGGUACGACGAGCGGCGAACGGGUGGAGUAACACGUGGGUGGACCUGCCCUCCAGCUCUGGGAGUAAGCCGUGGGAAACGUAGGGUCGUAAUACUGGAUAUGACCUUUCCUCGCAUGGGGUUGGGUGGAAAGUUUUCGGUCUGGGAGUGGGCCCGCGGCCUAUCAGCUUGUUGGUGGGGUGAU